rnacentral:rRNA from 1 species
ACGCACGCUGGCGGCAUGCCUCACACCUGCAAGUCGCACGCGACCUUCGGGUCUAGUGGCGCACGGGUGCGUCACGCGUGGGAACCUGCCCUUAGGUUCGGAAUAACUCCCCGAAAGGGGUGCUAAUACCGGAUAAUGUCUUCGGACCAAAGAUUUAUCGCCUUUGGAUGGGCCCGCGUUGGAUUAGCUAGUUGGUAGGGUAAAAGCCUACCAAGGCGACGAUCCAUAGCUGGUCUGAGAGGAUGAUCAGCCACACUGGGACUGAGACACGGCCCAGACUCCUACGGGAGGCAGCAGUGGGGAAUAUUGGACAAUGGGCGAAAGCCUGAUCCAGCAAUGCCGCGUGAGUGAUGAAGGCCUUAGGGUUGUAAAGCUCUUUUACCCGGGAUGAUAAUGACAGUACCGGGAGAAUAAGCUCCGGCUAACUCCGUG